AUAAACGCAAAAUAAUUAUUUAUUAUUAUUCAGAGAGCGAGAGCGAUAGAAUCAGAGACCGCCGGAAUCCCGCAAUGUUCUCCACAAGGCGGACAGGGUUUCUGGGGACUUGGGCGACUGCGCCGGAAAGCGAGCAUGUUGUCAGGCGGCAACCGCCGCCACCGCUCCUCCAACUCCUCCUCACCCGCCGUUCAAGCGUUCAACCAUUUCUUCUUUCUCUGACAAUGGUGUUCGUCUUGGUUAUCUUUUCGUGAUUGUUUAUGAAUAACCCUGGUGUAUUUGGGACCGGUUAGACGGAAACGGUUGCCGGACAAGCAAGUGGUCUUGCCGCCGGAGAUCGGGCAUUGCCAGUUCAGGAUGGCGAUCGUCAAGAACUCGUCUCCGCCCAAACCCUUUCUGGAACCGCAGACGGCGAUGAGCUUCUAUCCGAGGCGGCUGCAAAGGAAGAAGCCUCGAGGCAGCUGGUACCAUGUUAGCUCAUUCCGCAGCCUGGCCGCCGGGACCGUCGCAGAUUACGUUUGAUAAGAUGAAGUUGUGGUACUUCUAUUACAGGAGGAACUCAGGUGCAUCGAAUGCGUGGGGCAAGCCGUCUCGCAGUAUCCGGAGGUGAUUCGAAACAAAUUCUCUCGGAUUAGGUUUCACUUUUUUCUAUAUCUUUGGUCAACUUCCCCGUAAUUAGAUCGUUAUAUUUAUUGUUCAUAGUCAUGCAAGUGUGUGAUCUUCUUACUGGAGGACUAGCGAGAACGUGAUUCUCAGUGAACGAAGAUUUAGCAGUGCUGUCAAUAGAGUUUUUUUUUCUCAUUCGGAUGUACAUCGUCUUCAAGAUAUGCAUUUCGAGAGAAUUUGUCCUAGGUAGUCGUGCAUGCUUUCUAAUGUCCUCUUCUCCUUUUUGAAUUUUCGUAAUCGAUUUUCAUGCAGCUAGAUUACAACAAUUAACUGGUUUUCGUGUCUGGCUUUAUUUGAAAAGUUUGAAAGAAUGUGUCCUGAUUCGUUUGUGCGUCUCCAUCUGCAUCUAAUGAUGUGAACACUAAGCUGAGAUCUUCAUCUUUCUUGUCACAAGGCUUCGUUUAGGGCUUCUUAUAACGUGGUUUGUUAUAUGGUUGCAUCUAUUCACAUAAAACUCUGUUGUUGGGCAUAUGGAAAUGAGCUUGGAAAUAUUCUUCAUUUGCGACGUGUCACUUACCGGUGAGGUUUUUACAAUUGGUGGAACAAUAAGCUGCAACUUAUCGCUACGUGGUCUGUCAGUGAGCAAAAUUAUUUGCAAAAUCAAGCUUUUGCGGGUAACAAUUAUGGUGUAUACGGAUCGUGUCACUCUGUCCUGUUUCUGAGGUUGGUGGUCUAUGUUCCUCAAUAUGUGUCUUUUUUGUGGUCGUUAUCAGAAUAUUAGUUACAUGGCAGCGGUACUGGAGUGCUCAGAGAGCAAGGGAUAAAUGGCAAAGCGAUCAGGAAACAUUCCAGAAUUGUUGUGCGUGCGGACGAGCUGAGCUUUAGCAAAGUUUCCGUCCUUCAUUGCUGAAGGCCGGCUCAUUGAAAUUUGCGACCCGGAAUUGCAGUUACCAUGGUCGAACCAACAGCAAGGGGCCAAUCAUCUCUUUUGCAAAUUGGACAGGUCCAAUGAAACCUGGCUGGAUGCUUCCUCAAAUGGGUUCGAGCGACAAGCUGAGAAUCCUUCUGUGCUCCACUCGGACCAAAAUCCGUUCAUAUUUGAGAGGGUGGGUGAAGCCUGUUCCCCAUCCCCUCCGUAUAAGUUUAUCAAAGAUGUGGGACCUGCCGCUCUCCACCUCGGACGACACACGUGCAUCUUACUGACUGUUAUUUGCAGUUUAUUUAUGCUUAAAUUGUUUCUGUUGCUUCUCACCCUUUUCAAGAAGUUGUUUGCCUCCCAAUUGCACUUUUCCCUGUAGAUUUUCCAGCAAUUUUCAAGCGACGAUACAUCAGCUGCUAUAGUUCCUUUGGAUGAUUUGAUGGAAGGCCAAGAAAAAGGAUUCUUUUCAAUGUGCAAGAAGGGCAGGAGCUUCUUCAGAUGUGGCUGGCGCAUCAAUGUUGGCAUCUUUAUCACAGUUUUGCACAAGAUCCGCCAGUUUCAUCUGUUCAAAAAAAUGGUCUUGGAUUUCAGCAGAAUGCUCAAACCAUCUACACUAUCUUCCACUUGUAUUCCAUUGGAAAAAUGUAUGUCUUCCACUGUAAGGAAAUCAUGCACUAACGAGAACCUUGACUCUUUAAUUCCAACGGCUGAUAAGAAAGCCAAAAUGAUGCUGACGCCUGAAGUGAGGCAACUAAUGAUUUGGAAGGAAUGUGUCCGGCAGCUGAUAUUGAAAUGGAAAAUUUGUAGUGGUAAUGAGUCCUUAAGGCUUAAGCCCUAUCCUUCAGAUGUUGACUGGUGUAGCUGGUACCUGAAUCUAAGUGGAAACAUAUCUGAUAAUGUAGCCAAUGUAAGUGGUAUACUAGCAAGAGACUCUAUGAUGAUAGUGUCAACUUAGGUGCUACCGACAAGAUCCAAGAAUUCAGGGAAGAACUGCUGUCUGGACUUCUUGGCGUUAGAGACUUGAGGAAUCAUUUGAUAACUUCCGGUACUUUUUGAGGUAUAUAUGAUAUGCUUAUUUCGAUUUUCACACGCAUGGUUGGGAGACAUUGUUGCUCAACUAGGUGUGGAAAACCCACACCGCCUGUUCUCGACCUUGGGAUAGGCGCCUGCGUUGGCGUAUUUUUGAGGGUGGUAUCCUUCAAGUUCCAGCCCUUGACCGUCUGUCUUACUCUUUGAUUUUCUUUCUUCUUUGUUUUCCUACUGCCUAUGCAUUUCUCGGCCUUUUGGCUAACAUUAAGUGUAGUACAUUGCUCUACUAUUGUGUGAUUCAUCGUCUUUUUUUUUGUUCCAGAUUGGCUGUAAUUUUUUGAGAAAGAAGUUAAUAAGUUAUGUGAUUAAUCCUCCUUUUUGUUCCA